rnacentral:rRNA from 1 species
UACGGAAGGGGCAAGCGUUGUUCGGAAUCAUUGGGCGUAAAGGGCGCGUAGGUGGCUCUGUGUGUCUACCGUGAAAGCGUACGGCUCAACCGUAUUUUGUCGGUAGAAACUGCAGGACUUGAGGCUGGGAGGGGCUGGUGGAAUUCCCUGUGUAGCGGUGAAAUGCGUAGAGAUGGGGGAGAACACUCGUGGCGAAGGCGGCCAGCUAGACCAGUUCUGACACUGAGGCGCGACAGCGUGGGGAGCAAACAGGAUUAGAUACCCUGGUAGUCCACGCUGUAAACGAUGGGCACUAGGUGCCGGCGGUCUUGAUCCCGUCGGUGCCGGCGCUAACGCAGUAAGUGCCCCGCCUGGGGAGUACGGUCGCAAGGCUGAA